UACCACUACCAUACUGCCAUUUCUUUCCACUUUGACAAUUUGACAUCCGCUGCGUGACGUGCGUCGCCUCAAGUCAAUUGGACGUUGUCCGUCGUCGUUGAUUUUGUUCCAUUUGUUCCGAGUUAAACACACACCGGUGUCUGGUGACCACUGACUGGUUUGAAUUGAAACUCAUUUUCCUUUUUAUGUCUAAAGGAGUGGGUUAGCGAUUGUAUCGUGUGUGAAUGUGACUUCUGUAAUGUGGCCCUAGAAAAGAUCUUGUUGCGUUUCAGACGUAUAGGCUAGGUAACUAGUACUGAAGAAGAACAAUUUACCUAUAGCUAGGCCAUCUCAUCUAUGAAAAUAUGUUCAAGCCCACUUCUAAGGGAAUACAGGGCAGGCUAGGCUAUGUGCCUCAGUCAUUAAAUAAGAACUGAAGAUGCAUUGAUGUAGGACACUGUACCUUACCUUACCUUACUACCUAGGCUAGCUACCUCAAUAGUAGAGUGGUUUCAGGACACGGUACCUUACUUAAUGGUCGAGUGGUUUCAGGACACGGUACCUUACCUUAGUGGUAGAGUGGUUUCUUUGGUAGGCCAAUCGAAAUGGGCUAGGCCUAAAGUGGGCCUACUCGGCUGGAGCCCAGAGCCAACAUAAGCAGAGUUCCGAAGGAGACAAACCUGACUCUUGAACCCUAACCUCUUGGUGAUGGAGCUAAAAGAAAGCGGGAUUAAUCUGAACAUCCGAAGUUUGCUGGACGUUGUUCUGCGACUCGGAGGAAAGGUAAUGUGCACUAUGUUGUCCAGUAAUUUGAAUAUCAAAGAUUCCCAAGUUUAUUCCUUUUAAAAAACACACAUUUAUAUCCAAGUAAGUGUAACUGGCUCAUUGUAUCCCAAGGGUUGGUGUUAGUGAAUGAAGAAAUGUAAUCCAUAUGAUGUUAGGAAAGAUGAAAAGGGAAAAGCUUAUUAAAUUCGAAUUUCCAGUGUUGGUUAAAUCUGAGUAUCAAACACUUGAUUGUUUUUUGUUAUAUUUAUGGCUGACCAAGAGUGAAAUUAUCUUGUUCCUGCGCGUAAUUAUUAUUAUUUUUUUUAAUGUAUAGAAUUUUCCUUUUGUUGAAGAGAGAAAACAUCUUUCUAAAAGCCUGUAAGGAUCGUUCUUAUCCUUUUUCUUUGCUGAUUUUUAAAAAUGUUGUACUUCAUUGUAUUUGGUUUUAAUAGGGGUUGUAGAGCAGAUAAUAUGCAAUCGUUCAAUUGAUAAUAGAAUGUUGGUGAAAUAUUUAUUUUGUAUUAAGU